GAUGAACGCUGGCGGCGUGCCUAAUACAUGCAAGUCGAGCGAACAGACGAGGAGCUUGCUCCUCUGACGUUAGCGGCGGACGGGUGAGUAACACGUGGAUAACCUACCUAUAAGACUGGGAUAACUUCGGGAAACCGGAGCUAAUACCGGAUAACAUGUUGAACCGCAUGGUUCAACAGUGAAAGACGGUCUUGCUGUCACUUAUAGAUGGAUCUGCGCCGCAUUAGCUAGUUGGUAAGGUAACGGCUUACCAAGGCAACGAUGCGUAGCCGACCUGAGAGGGUGAUCGGCCACACUGGAACUGAGACACGGUCCAGACUCCUACGGGAGGCAGCAGUAGGGAAUCUUCCGCAAUGGGCGAAAUCCUGACGGAGCAACGCCGCGUGAGUGAAGAAGGUCUUCGGAUCGUAAAACUCUGUUAUUAGGGAAGAACAAAUGUGUAAGUAACUAUGCACGUCUUGACGGUACCUAAUCAGAAAGCCACGGCUAACUACGUG
rnacentral:rRNA from 1 species